AUUGAACGCUGGCGGCAGGCCUAACACAUGCAAGUCGAGCGGAUGAAGGGAGCUUGCUCCUGGAUUCAGCGGCGGACGGGUGAGUAAUGCCUAGGAAUCUGCCUGCUUGUGGGGGAUAACGUCCGCAAACGGGCGCUAAUACCGCAUACGUCCUGAGGGAGAAAGUGGGGGAUCUUCGGACCUCACGCUAUCAGAUGAGCCUAGGUCGGAUUAGCUAGUUGGUGGGGUAAAGGCCUACCAAGGCGACGAUCCGCAACUGGUCUGAGAGGAUGAUCAGUCACACUGGAACUGAGACACGGUCCAGACUCCUACGGGAGGCAGCAGUGGGGAAUAUUGGACAAUGGGCGAAAGCCUGAUCCAGCCAUGCCGCGUGUGUGAAGAAGGUCUUCGGAUUGUAAAGCACUUUAGGUUGGGAGGAAGGGCAGCAAGUUAAUACCUUGCUGUUUUGACGGUACCAAAAGAAUAAGCACCGGCUAACUUCGUG
rnacentral:rRNA from 1 species